rnacentral:sRNA from 1 species
UGAAAUGACUUGAGAGGUGUA